GCUGAACGCAGUAUGACUCAUCCGACCACCGGCAACCAGGAAGUGGAUCGCGGCGGAGACCAGAGACGGUUACCGGAGGCACCAGGGGAGAGGAGGAAGAGUGAAUAUACCCUAAUGAGACUUACCACCCUCCAGGGACUUACCUCUACAAGCAGCAAAGAAGCAAACAGCAGCAGAUGAUUCCUGAGCAUCUUGCUGCGACAGAUUCUCAAGCAACAAAUGAUUUACUGAUCUCCUCUUUACAAGUCAUCUACCAUCUUUAUCUUUAUCUUUCCGGGGGAGUCAAUCAGACGCUUUUAUUUGCCAGUUUCUGAACAGCUUCGUCCGAUGCCCCUAAAGAUGCCAGCCCAAUUUCCUGAGAGAACUGCGCAAAACUGGGUUCAGCCAGAAGAGGAACGUGUCCAAGGAGCUCAUGGCAAGUGUCA